GGAGGAAGUCCAGGGGUCAGCUUCCGGCUGCGCCAUUGCUGUGUCGGUCUUGGGACCUCGACUUGGAGGACGCGGGAGGGUGCAGGGCGGGGACAGGGCGGCGCUGAGAUUUCCGGGGAGCUGCAGGUGAGGCCGCGCAGGGCGGGUGACGGCACCCGCGUUCCCUUCCGGGCUGGAGCCCGAGACUGCCGUGUCCUGCGGGGACCAGGUGGUGAGCAAGGAGGCGUGGAGCGGCUUCAGGACUCGAGCGGUUCCGAAGCGGCUAUGGACUUUAGCCUUUGACCCCGAGGUCGAGCGACAGACAACCCCCAUCCCCUGCUCUAGCCGGACAGUUGCAGGGUCCCGGGUGGGUGAGGUGUUUGGCUGCGGGAAACUCAAGCGGCGGCAAGAAAGCAGUUGAGUCCCCACAAACCGCCCGAAGUCAAGAGAUGGGGGCCAGGAGGCCUCAAACAGUCCUGCUUCGGCCUCCCAAAGUGCUUGAAUUACAGGCAUGAGCCACCACACCCAGCUUCAGUGUUCCUUACAUAAAGUCCCAUGCAGUCAUUGGCUGAUGUUGGCCCCCCAGCCCCAAGCGUGGAGGGUUGGAAUAGCCUUCCUAAUGAAGAGGUUCCUGAGGGCAAUUCUUUGAAGAAAAGGGAAGCUGUUCCUGGUUAAAAAUCCCGAACUUAGUAGUGAGUGCUUGGUCUAUAAAGGAGAGCUGGCUGGAGCGUCAAGAGUUAUCCUCUGCUUCUGUUUUCUUCUUUCCCAGAGCUGAACACGGAAUCCAGCAAAUAUGUGCUGAAUAAAUGAAGGUUUUGAAUAAAACAGAGGAAUGCAGUUGAAUUCAGUAGAUACUGGCUGAGCACAAGUGACAGAUCUUGGUCUGUGAUGAAAGAGUCACAGGUAACUUUAAAGCUCUGAGCCCAAGUGGACAGUAAGAAAGCAGUUGGAAAGGUCCAUAAUGAGAGAAUAGGAUCCACCCCACACAUCUUCACUGUCAGACCCAGGUUAUCAGGAACACUGCUGUGCACUACAGCAGAAAGAGAGCUCUGGAGAGUCUUGCAUCAAUCAAGUACUGUGGCCCAGAGAUGAUAGGUAUCACCUGUGCUUCCAUCUCAUUGGCCAACAUCAUGCACAUCAUCCAUCCAGCAAGGAUUACACCAACGUGGGCAGACAAGACUCCAGUGGAUGCCUGAAACUGUGGAUAGUAACAAACCCUGUGUUUUUCCCACCUGACAAGUGAGAUGGCUACUAACUGGCUAACAAGUGGGAACAUCUAAAGCAUGGAGACACUGGAAAAAGAGAGGAUUCAUGUUCCUGGUGGAAAAGAGGGGGAAGGUUGGAGACUUCAUCAUGAUAUUCAGAAUGGCUCACAAUUUAAAACUUAGGAAGUGUUUAUUUCUGGGAUUUUCCAUUUAAUAUUUUUAGACCUCAGUUGACUGCCAUUUAUUAUGGGUAACAGAGCCCUGGUAAAUGAAACCUCAGAGAAGGGGACUACUGUGCAGGGUUGUCAGCAUCUAGAGUGGGGGAUUGCUGGAAAUGCUUGAUGAACAGCAUGAAUGGCGAUCUAAUGCCCUCAACCAAAAUGACAGAGACAUCUUUUCUAUCUUACAAAGAAGGCCAUUUGCGUCUUCUCCCACAUUGCCUAAUAAAUCCACAUAGUACCUCAAAACCUUGGAUUAGGCAUAUUCAGCAAUAAAUCCAUUAGUUUUCUAUUGCUGCAUUAAAAAACACCCCAAACUUAGUGACUUUAAACAGCAUAUGUCUAUUAUUGAAGAGCUUCCCUGGCUGGGAAUUCUGGAUAUGGGCUAGGUGGGUGGUCUGCUCGGGGUCUCACUCAGCUGGAAUCAAGGGUCAGCCAGGGCUGCAAGUCCCUCAGAGGCCUCACAUCCUCUGCUAGUCUCACUGGUCCUUGGCAGAAUUCAGUUGCUUUGGGUUGUUGGAGUGAAGUCCCAGCUUCUUGCUGGUCAUUGUUUGGGGACUACUCUGGGUUCUGCGGUGCCCUUGGAUUUUUGCCGCAUGUCCUCUUAGCAGUUCACAACACAGCUGUCUGCCUUUCCAACAUGAGCAGAAGGAAUCUCUCCCACUUCAAAUAUCUGAACUCUUGUAUAGGCUUCCUGAUAGCGUCAGGCCCACCCAGCAUAAUCUGUCUUUUGAUUAACUCAAAGUCAACUACUUAGGGCUCUGAAUUACAUCUGUUUAUACCUUCUGCCAUACCCCAUAACAUAUUGAUAUAGACAGUGAUAUUCUAUUAUAUCCAUAGGUGCCUUCACACUCAAGGGGAGGGAAUUAUUCAGGGCAUUUACACCAAGGGGGGCAGGAAUCUUGGGGGCCAUCUUACUAAUUUUGCCAACACGGAGACACAGAAGGGGAAGCCAGUCUUGAAAGCUGAUUGAUUUGCUGUGUUUGGGACUGUCUUAUUAGCUGGCUUCAUAGAAUAACUUGUUGGAGUAUUCAAUGAAUUAACAAUUAAAAGACACACACACACACACAGAGAGAGAGAGAGAGAGAAAGAGAGAAAAGAAAGCUGAUAUGAAAUGAUUUGAUUUGGUGCUGUAGGUAGAGAGGGCCAUGAGGGGAGUGGGGAAUCAGAUCAUCUUCCCAAGUGCCAAAUUUCCAGUGUAUCCAAACGUCACUCUGUCUCUUUAACAAUGAUAUCUGUGGCAUUCUUAGUUGGCCCUUGAUAGUAUAUCUGAUUGUAUCUCCCUUUUGAUUUCUUUUUGAGGUUUACUUCUGAAAACAACACUACUCUUUUCUUGCAUGAUUCUUUUCUUUUCUGGAGUGAACAUUUGUUGUUCUGCUUCUUGCCCAACUUCUUAAGAUGGCUCAUUAUUCUAUAAUAUGUGCAGUAUUGCCCAGAAGUAAUUUUCCUUUUAUUUUUGCCCACAAGGUGGAAAAUUAAGGAUGAAAUACAACUUUAUUUUUGCUUUUCCCAGAAGAGUUGACAAGGUAGUUUUUUUCUGCCUGUUUUUCUAUUAGCAGUGAAAUAUUAUUUUGGCUGUAACAGUAGACUACUUCAUCCUAUCUUGGCAAAAGUUUUAUGUAGAGAGCCUCCUGCCCUUGUUUAUGCCCCAGAGGCCCAUCCUGGGGUCCUGAAGGAUAGAAGGAGAUUUCUACCCACAGAGCCUCGGGGACCUGGUUUCCUGCCCUUUAGCCAUGCUCAGGUAUGUCUUUGCAUGUCCUCCUUCUUUUUCUAAUUGGGAGGCUUAUUCUCAAUCUCUCUAUAAUAUUUCUGCUCAGGAAAUACCACUUUUUAAACUGAAGAGAUGACGCUCUAAUGAAGACUUGAGCAUCAAUAGUAUUGGCUUCUCUUUGGUGCUGAGUAUGGACAUACUAGUAGAAACACUGACCGAGGGGAACUCUGUACAUUUUAAGAGACUUUCUCUUCCUUUCGUUAUUUUGUCUCCUGCUGGCCGUCUUCAUCCAUUCCAACGUGAUGGAGAAUUUCAAGAAUGGUAGUAGUAAAGAACUGUUAAGAUUAACUAUUAGGCCCACUUUUUUAGACCUUUUCUUCUGUUUGCCUUUCACAUCAUUUUAUGACCAAUACUAAGAUGAACUAAUUUGAUGAAGAGCAUUAUUUUAUUUUAUUUUAGUUAAGGAACAUUCUAAAAAUCCAUAGAAGAGUCCUGGAGCAUCCAUUCAGUAUUUAUUCAACACAAAUUCUUGAAAAAGUACUGUGAGUACAGCGUUGCCCCAGCCACUUGAGGCAUAUAAGAAAGAUCUGGUUUCUGCUUCAAAGAGAAUAGUUGGUGAAAAGAACGUAAGUUCAGAAUCAGACAGACCAGGGUUUAAAUCCUUAUCCUGCUACCUGCUGGGUGUAAAUCUCAUGCAUAUUCCAUAUUUCCCUAUGUCUCAGUUUCCUGUCUGUGAAAUGAGUGUUAUGAACCCUGUUUCCUUAUAUUGUGAGUAUUAAAAGACUCCAGUAAGAUGAAAAAUAUAUUACAUCAUGACCAAGUUAGGAUUAUAUGAGAAAUGGAUGAAUAAUUUAAUAUUAAAAAUUCCAUAAAUAGAUUCUACCCAUUAACCAAUUAUUAGAGAAAAACCAUAUGGUCAUCUCAGUAGAUACAGAAAACACAUUUGAAAAAAACAACGUGGUUUGGCUCUGU